GUGGCAUUUAUACAUUUAAUAAUUUUACGAACAACAAAGUGUAAAAAUUUUGUUAUAUUUGAUCAAUAAAUUAACAAUGGAAAUACAAAGUCCAGUGAAAGAACCUAUUCUUGUAUAUUGCCAUGUACAAUCUGUCACAAACAAUGUUUCUGAAAUAUGCCUUAAUGUAA